GUUUUUUCUUCAUCCGACGCUGACAGUGGUCACGGGCGUACUGGCGUACUGACGGUAUUGCCGCGCAGGAUCUAGAGCAGAGCCCAACUGAGGAAGUUACCUCCACCUUACAGAAAAUCGCACCCAAAUAACACUAGACCCUACUCGUCAUAGCAUAGUGUUUUUUUCCUGCCGGUGAGUAAGGUUACCAGAGAAAUCAUUAUCUUAUCUUACCUUAUCUUAUCCAACACCUUUGGAAUUGCA